rnacentral:lncRNA from 1 species
GUGGCUGUCAUAAUUUUUGGUAUAGUAGUUGUGACUUAUUCACACUAUAUACAUUUGGCUUCCGCAACAAUUGGUAUCAGAGCCAAGGUACUGUCUAAGUAUGCUCUGUGGUUGCAACAUAGUCUGAUCUUCCACAUCAGAAAAGAUUUAUCUUGGUAACUGAGUCAAGGUUCUGUCUGAGGUCUGAGUAUGCUCUGUGGUUGCAGCUUAGUCUGAUCUUCCACACCAGAAAGGAAAUAAUCUUGAUUUGUGUCGUCAACUAUUAAAUAAUAUUUGUGUCAAAGAUGGGAGACAAUAAACAAGAAGAAUCUACAUCAAGUGUCAACAAUACGUCAUCAUUGGCAUCUUCGCUUAUGACAAGAAUUGUGUCAAAUGCGAAAUUUGCGGUCGAAAUAUUUGACGGGUCCGGACAUUUUGGGAUGUGGCAAGGNNNN